rnacentral:rRNA from 1 species
UACGUAGGGGCAAGCGUUGUCCGGAUUUAUUGGGCGUAAAGAGCGUGUAGGCGGCCAUGUAGGUCCGUUGUGAAACUCGAGGCUCAACCUCGAGACGCCGAUGGAAACCAUGUGGCUAGAGUCCGGAAGAGGAGAGUGGAAUUCCUGGUGUAGCGGUGAAAUGCGCAGAUAUCAGGAAGAACACCCGUGGCGAAGGCGGCUCUCUGGGACGGUACUGACGCUGAGACGCGAAAGCGUGGGAGCGAACAGG